CGGCGGACGGGUGAGUAACGCGUGGGUAACCUACCCUGUACACACGGAUAACAUACCGAAAGGUAUGCUAAUACGGGAUAAUAUAUUUGAGAGGCAUCCCUUGAAUAUCAAAGGUGAGCCAGUACAGGAUGGACCCGCGUCUGAUUAGCUAGUUGGUAAGGUAACGGCUUACCAAGGCGACGAUCAGUAGCCGACCUGAGAGGGUGAUCGGCCACAUUGGGACUGAGACACGGCCCAA
rnacentral:rRNA from 1 species